rfam:Triticum aestivum genome assembly, contig: Triticum_aestivum_CS42_TGACv1_scaffold_434086_5DL
GAGCUACUCCCUCUGUCCGAAAAAGCUUGUCCCUCAAAUGGAUGUAUCUAACACAUAGUGUUAGAUGUGUUAGAUACAUCCAUUUGAGGGACAAGUUUGGGACAAACUUUUUCGAACGGAGGAAAUACUAC